GGAGAUCUCCAAGGAAAGCCGAUGUCGCAAGAGAGGAGAAUAGUGACAGUGGUUCCAAAGAAUAAAGUUGUAUAUACUCUGAAGAUCCUCAAUAAUUGCACUGCAGUAUGAGCAAGAGAGAGAACAAGUGGCACAUCCAAUGUGAGCUAACAGGAAUAACGGUAGAUUUCAUGGUCGUGACAUCACCACCAGUGACUUUUCUACAAACAAAGCUCUGAACAAAGGACUGAAUGACCCAUCCAAGCUGUGGAUGUAUUCCAGAGAGAUUUUAAAGCCAGCAAACUCACCAAUACUGCUAAGAACCUGAUAUACGGACUUUGAAGUCUCUUUAUGUAUCUG